AUGACUCAAAAAAAUAUCAGAGACCAUGUAGGCAUCUAAUCAGAGUUAGGAUGUUUUUCACCUAUAAUUUUUCCCUACAACAGAGAAAGAGUUCAGUCAUAGUGAGCUGCCCAAUCCUUUAAGGCUACAAUUCCACUGUUCAAAUAUAUACACACUAACUCUGCAUGUGUUCUGUGACUUUGGUUAUCUCUGUUUUGAGCUGCAAAUUGCUGUUUUUCAGCUCUUCCCUCAAGAGUCAUUUGAUGGAUGAGAUCCUUCACCAGAAGUAAUACCUGAUCACUCAGCUGAACCCUGACCACUUGUAUCUGCCCCA
rnacentral:lncRNA from 1 species